rnacentral:lncRNA from 1 species
GGAUCCGACAAGUAGUGCCGAACUUAAUUGUGUCGAGAAGAGGCCGAAUAGUGCCGAACUCGACGGCGAGAAGAGGCCGAACCGCCGAAGUCACAACCAACCUACAUUUGGACCCAAAAAAAAUCAAUUCUACUGUCUCUAACUUGACUAAAUAAAAAUUAAUUGGAUCAAAAGAUUAAUUAGUAAAGUAAACUAGCUUAGGAGCUAACAGAGGAGAGACGGUGGAUUAGAUUGUCUGAUUCUCACCGGACACCGGGAAUUGGGAAUCCAAUUUGGGAUCAGCCGAUCAGUGAUUCAGACACAGAGACACUCAGUGAGACAGUGAGGACUGAGGAUGGUGGAUUUUGGUCCUUGGAGAGUUGGAGUGAGCCGAGCUGCCGAGUGCGGACUGCGGAGUGCCGAGGAGCGGAGGAAGCCGGAGCGGCGGAGCCCGGAGGUCGGAGCCUCGGAGGAGCCGAGGACGGCGAGGAGAGCUGGAGUCUGGAGAGGACUCCUCUCAGAGGAGAUCCGGCCGGCGGGCCGGCAGCUAGCCACUCGCCCGGUCUUCCGUCGGCCGAAGCCCGAAGGUUGGAACUUGGAGGACGGGAGGAGCUGACAGCCGAGGACGGCGACGUCGGGCGUCGGCCAGGGCCCAGG